AGAGUUUGAUCAUGGCUCAGGAUGAGCGCUGGCGGCGUGCCUAAUACAUGCAAGUCGAGCGGUAAGGCUCCUUCGGGAGUACACGAGCGGCGGACGGCUGAGUAACGCGUAGGAACGUACCCCAAAGUGAGGGAUAACUGCUCGAAAGAGUAGCUAAUACCGCAUGUGAUCUUCGGAUUAAAGCUUUAUGCGCUUUGGGAACGGCCUGCGUUCGAUUAGCUUGUUGGCGGGGUAAAAGCCCACCAAGGCGACGAUCGAUAGCUGGUCUGAGAGGAUGAUCAGCCAGACUGGGACUGAGACACGGCCCAGACUCCUACGGGAGGCAGCAGUAGGGAAUUUUCCACAAUGGGCGAAAGCCUGAUGGAGCAACGCCGCGUGCAGGAUGAAGGCCUUCGGGUUGUAAACUGCUUUUGUUGGUGACGAUUAUGACGGUAACCAACGAAUAAGGGUCUGCUAACUACGUGCCAGCAGCCGCGGUCAUACGUAGGACCCAAGCGUUAUCCGGAAUUACUGGGCGUAAAGAGUUGAGUAGGUGGCAUGGUAAGUCUGUAGUGAAAGCGUGAAGCUCAACUUCAUACACAUUAUAGAAACUACUAAGCUAGAGGACGAGAGAGGUAGAUGGAAUUCCUAAUGUAGGGGUAAUAUCCGUAGAUAUUAGGAGGAACACCGAUGGCGUAGGCAGUCUACUGGCUCGUUCCUGACACUAAGUCACGAAAGCGUGGGGAGCAAACAGGAUUAGAUACCCUAGUAGUCC
rnacentral:rRNA from 1 species